UCAGAUUAGGGACUAUCGUUCUCAUAGUAUAGUUUGCAGAGGUAGAUCUUGCAAGCGUAUCAGGUUUAGUUAAGUUUUUGUACCCUUGUCGAGAUGCAAUGCCACUGAUAAAGCUGUUUUGUUGACAUAGCUACUUUGUUCCCGAAUUUUACUGAUAUCUAUCUGAUUUUUGAACUGGUUUAUGUGUUGGCUUAGAUAGUACUCUAUAUUGAUCACUUUUUCCCUUUCAUUCCUUAAAAUCUCAUUUUUUUUCCCUGGUGGCUCUUUUGAGCUCUGACAUAGCAACAAGAUAGUAUAUCGGUUACUCGGAAACUAUUCGCCGGCGACAUCGGACACCAUUUGAACUCGUACGAACGCUCCUCUCUGGCGACCGUUGAGGCGUCCUGAGCUCCCCGCCGGUGCGCUGCUCGGCCCUGGCUGCAGUGGCCAUGCAGUGUGCCGCCGGUGUGCCAGAGCUGGCCGCGGCCGUUGGCCUGGGGCCGACGCUCAGCUGCGCUCCCCCGAAGCACUGGCAUCUGCUCGCUAGGCCGAGGGAUUGUGAUCGUCUUCAGCUUUUCCUGGAUGCCCUGGUGUCUAUCGCGCGUCGGCUCUCCGGCUUCGUAGCUUGCCCCUAGUGGCUUUGUGUUUCUUCUUCUUUCAUUUGGGCGUCCUUGUGUUGUGGCCCCAACAUUUCUUGUUUAUGACAGUGCUUGAGAUGUGGUUGUAUGGACAUAUGCUUUAUCUAUAAAGCGGGGCGAAAGCCUAUUUCGAGA